rnacentral:lncRNA from 1 species
CAAAACCCUUUUUCCUUGCCUCUUGAAGGAUACUUUUAUGUUUGACAGGGAGUCAAGAUCCUGUCAAUACCAGAAGUAAAGGCAUUCUGGCAUAUUUACACUUUGCAUCUUUCCUGUUGAUGUUUACAUUCAGGAUUUCAUUAUUUUAUCAGAUCCUAAAUCUUCUGAAUCAACAUAUAUUAAGGUAUAGUUUCACAAUUUAUUAAUCAAAUAAUUCGUAUAGUUUUUAUGUACCAUAAAUCUAAGAGGCCUACUGUUUUUAAUGUUUUUAUUUAUUUUUGAGGGAGAUUGAGAGCAUGAGUGGGGGAGGUGCAGAGAGAGAGAGAGAGAGAGAGAGAGAGAGGAUCUGAAGCAGGCUUUGUGCUGACAGCAGACAGCCCAAUGUGGGGCUUGAACUCACAAAUGGUAAGAUCAUGACCUGAGCCAAAUUCGACACUUAACCAACUGAGCCAACCAGGCUCCUCCAAGAGGCCCAAUUCAAUAAAUACCCUUGUACCCACA